rnacentral:snoRNA from 1 species
UCCAGCACAAGUCAGCUGCCCAUGGCUGCUCAGUGCCUGUGUCAGUGUUAUGCUGCUGGGACAGAAAGGUGCUGCUGAGCUCUCCUGGCACCAGCGGGGCCGUCCUGGCAUUUGGUGGUGUCAGGUUUUGGCAGCACUCUGCAUGCUCGAGAGUGGAGUAACUCCUGCCUGUGGAGUUAGAGCCUAGACUGGAUGCAGACAAC